rnacentral:rRNA from 1 species
AGCAGCCGCGGCAAUUCCAGCUCCAAUAGCGUAUAUUAAAGUUGUUGCAGUUAAAAAGCUCGUAGUUGAAUUUCGGGAUUGGCGCAUCGGUCGUGCCUUACGGGGUAUGAACUGGUGCAGUCAAUUUCUCACCUUCUGGAGAACCGCGAUGUCCUUAAUUGGGUGCCGCGGGGAACCAGGACCUUUACUUUGAAAAAAUUAGAGUGUUUAAAGCAGGCAUUUUUGCUUGAAUACAUUAGCAUGGAAUAAUAAAAUAGGACGGCAUGGUUCUAUUUUGUUGGUUUCUAGGACCACCGUAAUGAUUAAUAGGGAUAGUUGGGGGCAUUAGUAUUCAAUUGUCAGAGGUGAAAUUCUUGGAUUUAUUGAAGACUAACUACUGCGAAAGCAUUUGCCAAGGAUGUUUUCAUUAAUCAAGAACGAAAGUUAGGGGAUCGAAGACGAUCAGAUACCGUCGUAGUCUUAACCAUAAACUAUGCCGACUAGGAAUCAGACGAUGUUAAUUUUUUAAUGACUCGUUUGG